GGGAGAGAUGAAGAGAGGGGAAUGGAAGGUAGUGGGGCAAUGUAAACAUGGGGAGAGAGGGGUAGGAAGGUAAUGGGGCAAUGUAAACAUGGGGAGAGAGGGGUAGGAAGGUAAUGGGGCAAUGUAAACAUGGGGGAGAGAUGGGGUAGGAAGGUAGUGGGGCAAUGUAAAAAUGAGGGAGAGAUGGAGAGAGUGGAAGGAAGGUAGUGGGGCAAUGUAAACAUGAGGGAGAGAUGGAGAGAGGGGAAGGAAGGUAGUGGGGCAAUGUAAACAUGGGGGAGAGGGGGGAAGGUAGUGGGGCAAUGUAAACAUGGGGGAGAGAUGGAGAGAGGGGAAGGAAGGUAGUGAGAAAAAGAAGAGCUGUACGGAAGGCUGGAGUGAUGGGGUGAACACUGUCAGAGAAGAAAACGUGGAGAAAGGGAUGGAGAAACAGAUGAGUGUUUCCCAACAACAGGUCAGGACCUAUUGGGUCGCUGCUAUUCCUUUUGGGACACACCUAAACACAAGAUUAAACCCAAACACACUGCUUUGGUUUAUUGGGCAGGCCACAAUACAUUUCAAAUCAGCUUUGAACAUUUGGCUCUAUGAGGCUGUAUGAGGCUGUAUGAGGCUGUAUGAAGCAGUAUGAAGCAGUAUUAGGCAUUCCGUCGUCCUGAACCUUCUUUCAGCAUUCUAGUUCCAGUCUACCUUCCACUGAUCAGACCUCAGCGGCCCAGUAAAUGGUUGAGAUCAGCACAUCACAACUAUCAA
ensembl:lncRNA